CUUUCACAAAAAGUUGAGACUCAUAUUUUUAUUUUUUUUAUCCACUCUCUUAUUUGAUCUAUUUAUUUCUUUAAGAUAAAAAUGACACAAACUUUAUAUCUUUUAAAUUGACACUUUUUUCUUAAAAUAUAUGGGAUAGGAUAUUGUGACAUCCAAGUGAUGUUACACCCAUGUGACAUCCAGUCAAUCUCACCGUUAAAUUAGGUUUUUAAUCUAACGAUCCAGAUUUAAUCCUUAUAUACACCUUCACUUCCGCUUCUCUCUCUCUCCUUUCUCUCUGAUCAUACUCUCUCUUUUCCCUUCUCUCUCAUCAAACUCUCUCUCUUCCUUUCUCUAUUCCCUUUCUCUCUGAUCCGUCGCCGCCGCCGCGCCUCCCCCUCUGAUCCCGCGCCGCCCGACUCCACCGCCUUGCAGCUGCCGUUCCAAACUUGUGGAGCGAAUCAGAGAUGGUCACGUACAGCUGAAUUUUCUCUCCCAAAUUUGAUGGUCACGUGUGUGUAUUAAAACUAUUUUGUCUUUACAGGAAUGUGAUUAUCUCAGGGUACCAAAACUGGAAAGAAACUUUGUGCAUCUGGUAAAGUAAGUCUGACCUUUCUGUGAAAAUUUUCAAGGUGCACUUCAGCCUUGCUGAGAACAGCCGGUGUCUUUGCUGAAACUGCAUGGGCAGGUAUAUUAUGGAUGACCAUUCGGACUACAAUGACUUAAAUGAUGAAAUUAGGAAUGACAUGCCUGGUGGGAUUGAAGAAGCAUCAAAGAAUGCUAAUAUUUGUGGAAAUUGCAAGAAACGAGGACAUAAUAAGCGUAUAUGUAGAGAGAAAAAUUUACAUUGACUUUAGUUGUUGUUUUUUUUUUAUUUUGGGUUACAUGACAUUUGCUACAUGAUUAUCAUUUAAUUUAUUAUUUCUUUUAGUUGCUAUAAGACAUAUUGUAUCGUU